CCCAGUACUACGACAGAUUUAUUCUAGACCUGAAUUCCUGAUUGGGGGAGAGUCACAGAGACAAGGCUGGAAAGAGAUUCAAUGAAAUGAAUUAAGAUGCCAAAUGAAUUAGUUUGGAAAUAGCUAGCUUAGGCCACAUCUGGUUGGGUGGGGUUGAACUUAAGGGAAUUGAUUAGUCAUUGGUGUUUGAGAAACGAGUAUAACAUGUAAAAUGAUUUCUUUUCCUAAAAAGGGAAAGUCUCAGGAAAGAAAUCAAGGGGCCAUGAGUGGUAUAUUGACUUCAUCCCUGUACAGUACCAACAAGGAUGGACUUCCUGCAGGCUAACGGGGACACCUAAUUGUUCUGAACGUUUAUAUCGCAGGAGUUAUUGAUGUAAAGGCAAGAAGCAUUUAAGAAGGAGCCCACCAGCAAUGCCACGUUCCUCAGACGGGGCAGGAUGGCUGUGGGAGAGUCCUCUGCCUGCUGAGAAUGCUAGGGCAUUUCGUCACUGUGCUUCCUGGAGGGCUACGUGCUUGUGGUUGGGGCAGCAUCUGGGAGUGAAAGGUUAUUCAUUUCCUUUGGAAGAUUUAAUUUUUUGUUUUUAGUGUCUCCUUUAUUCCAACUGGUCUGCACAAACCCUUGCCAGGUAAAUGUUCUUAGAAAACUUCUUUAGCAAGUUAGAUUUUGUUACAGAACAUCAGCAGCUGCUGUCUAAUAUAACAUAUCCAAAUGGGAGGCUCCCGAGGCUGCUGCCCCUUGCCCACACUCUGUGUAGAGAGACUUCGUCUCUCUAAUCCUCGGUCCCAGAAUACCCACCCCGUUCAAGGCUCAUUUCUUAAUCAUGUCUUGUCCUCUGAUUGCUACAUUUUAGAAUUGCCCUCCUGACACGAUCGAAAGCUCUUAAGAUCUAGGGACCUUGGCUUUUAUAGAAACCAUGUUCAAAGAUUCUUGAAUGUGAUGAUUAAUUUGACUCAUUAUUCAGACAUCUUUCCUGAGGAGAAUUAUUUUUAAUCUGAGCCAUUGAUUUAGAACUUUAAUCUGUCUUAAAUUUCAUGUACACUUCAGGGGCUAUUUCAGCAGGACCCUAAGGGGGAAGAUAUUUCCUCAAAAUUGGACUUUUAAACAUUGGGAUGAUUAUUGAUAAUUUAGGAUGACAUAACUUUAACUCCAAAGAAAUGGAUUAGCGGAAAUGGCUCAUUUUAACCUGAAGAGUCUGAGGUUUUCUACUAUUCUUUUAGUAGUUGGAUGGAACACACUUAAGUGCAUAAUUACACGGCAUUUUUUCAGCCAUGGAAAUAAUAACUAAUUAUUUUUCUAGCGACUCUAUUUCUUUACAUUAAAUACAUCGCAGUAUCCCUGAAAAUAUGUGGUAUGUUUUAAAUUUGGAAAAUGUGUGAUGUGAUGAUAUGAAGAGAUGGCUGAUGUAGGUAGUUUCUUACAUUGUGUUCAUUUGAACUUGAAAUGUUCGCCAUAUGAAAAUGAGUAUCAUGUCAAAAUGGUUUAGAUGAAAUAGAGUACAGUGUUAGUAUUUUGUGUGCAACAAAGCACCGAGUGUCCAGAUCCUAAAGGUAUAGUUAUUACCAUUAUCUGAAUUCUCUCUGAUGUCAUACAAAGGUAUUCUAUUCAUUUGGGCACUUAGGGUUUUAACAAUUUUAGUGGACAGAAAGGAGAAUGUGGGCUUCAACUGUAAAGUAAUAGAUUUCCCCAGAUGUAUAGUUUGUCACCAAGUAAGAGAGAAAUAUAAAGUUAAAACCUGCUUGGAAGUUUUGAGCCUUUCUUUGUAGCUGUCAACAUAUACCAACCACAUCCACCUCAGGAGAAAAUUCUAGCCAGUCCUCAGUGGCUGUUUUGCGGCUGGGAUGGGCAAUGAAGGCAGUGAGAGUGGAGAUCAACUGGAGGAGGGGCCAGGUUGGAGGUAUCGGGGAAUUAGGAGGAUUUGGUAACAUUGAAUGUGGGUGUUGGGGUGAGAGAGAGGAGUCGGGGAUGAAGUGUGGGUUUCUGGCUUGGGUGGCAGGAAGGAUGUUGCUGUCCCUCACCAAGAAAGGGAAUAUAGGAGAAAUGUCAGGUUUGGGAGGGAGGGUAAGUUCAGACAAUGCACUGAUUCCAGGCCGUCAGUAAAUAAUGAGUGAAUGAAUCUGGGUGUGUGAAUUGAGAUGUCUGUAGGGUAUAAAGGUUUUCUGCGUUUACCUAUAAGAUAGAAAAGGUAGACCUGGUCUAGGGAGAGAGCCUUGGGAUCUGUUGAAACCAUGAGGUUGUCAGGAGCACGGAGGAUACUACCAUGCAAAGAAGAAGGGUGUGUGUGUCUCUGGCGAUAACCAGGGUGAGUGGGUGGGGGAAAUGGGAAGAAAACCAGGAGAGAGUGGGUGUGUGCUGAGAGCCGAGGAGGAGGCUCACCUCAAGAACAAGGGAAAGUGCAGCAGAAAAGCCAAGAAGUUGGGCCAUUGGGGGGCUGGUAUUCGGAGAAUGGGGGGCGGUGGGGACGUUAAAUCCGACACACGUAUGUACAUGAUAUAAGGGGUGAUAGGUGACUAGGAGUUUGAUGAGUGGCAGGUGGAUUUUGAUCGACGAGGUGGGUGUGCAUACGUGUGUGGAGAGAAGCCUGCAGAGGCGCAGAGGCAGAAGAGGGAGGCUGCUUUUUCUAGAGAACCAGCUGGCGUGGUGGGUGGAACAAAUGACGUCCCCCCGUGGGCGUGGUCUGGGCAAGGAGGAGCCAUUCAGGGAGAAGUAACCUGGUCAGGUCUAUGACUUUGAAGCCGAUAGCAGAGUGAGAGAGAGUCAGGGAUGUUGUUUGGGCGGCUAUUGCAGUCACCUGGGUGAAGGUCAUUAGAGCUACAAAUGGGACAGCUGCAGUGGGAGAGAUGAUUCCAGAAGUCUGGGUGGCAUUGCCAUUGAGGAAACAGAGACACCAGAGGAGGAGAAGCCGGCCUAGUGAGGAGGCGGUGGGACAGUUCAGUGUUGGGCACCUUUGCAGAACGUUUGUGUAGCAAUCAGCUGGCACCCAGAACCCAGGGGCCUGAAGCCGGGGAGAGUGGUCAUGGCAAGAGACAAAGAUUUGGAGCAUGAGCUCAUCAUCCUUGAAUUGGAAGUAGUUGAGAUUUAUUUGAAGGAACGCGAGAAAAAUAAACCUUGAUGUGGCCGUGGACCGUAAAAGAAAACUUCUCAGACCACUUCAGUGUAUUUUUAACUUUCUUAGAGCAAAGCCUUUGAUGACCAGAAUGUGGACAUGCCCCCCAAACAGCCGAAAAUUAACACAGCAAGAAGAUGUUAGGAAGUCCAGUCAGUACGCUUCAAUAGAAAUGCUGUUAUCUUAGCGGUUUUUUUCCUCUCGGGUUAAACUCCGUUUCUUCAAUUCUUCUGUUUAUUAUUGUUGAUAAGAGACUUCAGAAGACUGGUGAGGAGUAGUGGGUUGGAUUUCUGAGAAGUCUUUGAAGAUGAAAUAUACUGCGUUGAAUGUGGUAUCAUUGCAUGUUACUCCCUGCUUUUGGCACCAGGAUACCUAAUAAUUGGUAUUUUAAUGAAAUGUCCAGAGAGGAAUGAAAAAGAAAACCCUUAAGUGGAUUUUAUCUUUUUUCAGAAAAUAGGCUGGUAACAAUUUAUAUUUAAACUAAAUACUGAUUUGUAGAACCUUGCUUUGGGAUUUCCCAUAAGAAUCUUCAUUUUUCUGCUUUCCUUCCUAACAUGUGUAAGCAGGUAAUACUGCUCUUCUGUGGAAAUGUGAAUUAAAACAGAAAUGAGUAUUUUAAAUCUGGGAUUUCCAGCAGUUUGUUGGGUGUUCUAGAAUUUGUGUAGGGAUGUGAGUGAUGGCAAGUGUUCUCUCUGAGUGCCCACUCCUCUCUGUACUACUUCCAUU